UAAGUCCUACGGGAGGCAGCAGUAGGGAAUCUUCCACAAUGGGCGAAAGCCUGAUGGAGCAACGCCGCGUGGGUGAAGAAGGUCUUCGGAUCGUAAAACCCUGUUGUUAGAGAAGAAAGUGCGUGAGAGUAACUGUUCACGUUUCGACGGUAUCUAACCAGAAAGCCACGGCUAACUACGUGCCGGCAGCCGCGGUAAUACGUAGGUGGCAAGCGUUAUCCGGAUUUAUUGGGCGUAAAGGGAACGCGGGCGGACUUUUAAGUCUGAUGU
rnacentral:rRNA from 1 species